AAAAAGACAAACCCUGGGUUUCCAUGUCCAACUUUGACUGUCCGUCUUAUAUAAAAUUUUUUUAUAAUUCGUAUUUUCAUUAUUAUUAGAUGAUAAAACAUGAUUAAUAUUUUAUGCGUGACUUGUCUUUUUAAUUUUUUUCAUAUUUUUUCAAAUAAGACGGACGGUCAAACGUUGGGCACGGAAACCAGGGUUUGCCUUUUUU
rnacentral:pre_miRNA from 1 species